rnacentral:tRNA from 1 species
UUAGAGCGCACGCCUGAUAAGCGUGAGGUCGGAGGUUCAAGUCCUCCUCGACCCA